rnacentral:rRNA from 1 species
AAACCGUUGAAAGGGAAGCGAAUGGAGUUAGCAAUUCGCCUCGCCAGAUUCAGUCGCUCGCGUUCCGCGGCGCGCGUGUUCUCGAUCUUCGUAGACGAGACGCGUGCGCUCGCGGGACGGGGACGGCGCACUUCUGGCGGGCGAGCGUCAACGUCGGUUGUCGGCGUGCUACAAGGCCGCGAGGAAGGUGCGCCGCCCUACGGGGCGGUAGUUAUAGCCUCGUGAGCGCAUGGCAUGCCGGCGACCGUGGAACGUCGCGACGCGUGCCUCCCCUCGUCGGGGGGCUGGGGUCUUGUUCCGUCGAUCCGGUUGUCGACUGUGGCGGACGGCACGCCUGUGCGCUCGAACCGCUGCCGGUCGCCGGGGCGAUGAUCACACACCACGCGUCGAGGACGUUGACGACCAUACGGCUCCAUCCGACCCGUCUUGAAACACGGACCAAGGAGUCUAACAUGUGCGCGAGUCUCCGGGUGAUCGAAACCUGUGGGCGCAAUGAAAGUAAAGGCGGCUCGCGCCGCUGAGGUGAGAAGCACGCCGCCACGCGACGUGCCGCAUCAUCGACCGACCUGUUCUACUCUUAGAAAGGUUUGAGUAAGAGCGUACCUGUUGGGACCCGAAAGAUGGUGAACUAUGCCUGAAUAGGGUGAAGCCAGCGGAAACACUGGUGGAAGCUCGUAGCGAUUCUGACGUGCAAAUCGAUCGUCGAAUUUGGGUAUAGCGGCGAAAGACUAAUCGAACCAUCUAGUAGCUGGUUCCCUCCGAAGUUUCCCUUAGGAUAGCUGGAGCUCGGAUGCAGU